rnacentral:misc_RNA from 1 species
AAGUCGUAACAAGGUCUCCGUUGGUGAACCAGCGGAGGGAUCAUUACAGGACUCGCAAGACUCCUUACACCCUGUGAACCUUACUGUAUACGCGUUGCUUCGGCGGGUCCGCCCGCCGGCAGCAUACCAUAUUCUGUUUCUCUGCGUUGGCAUCUCGAGAAAAAAGCAAAUAAGUUAAAACUUUCAACAACGGAUCUCUUGGUUCUG